AUGAGUGAACAACCUGUCAACUUUCUCAGUUGGAAUGUUAGAGGGCUUAAUUGCCCGGAUCGACGCGCAACCGUCAACGAAACCAUAGCCGCAUCCUCCUGCCAUAUUGUUUGUUUGCAAGAAACAAAGCUGGAGCUUGUCGAUCAGUUCACCGCCUCAUUCCUUGGAGGGUCCAGACUUAGGAAUUUUGCGCAAAGGCCGGCCAGCGGCACGAGAGGAGGGAUGCUUAUGCUUUGGGACGAUCGUGUCGUCGAUGUCACUGACAUCACUACCACCACUUUCUGCCUUUCAGCUAUGGUCCAAGUCAGGGCCUCCGGCUCCCGGUUCAAAAUUACGUCCGUCUACGGGCCGACCCUCUCGUCCCUCAAAGAGGCCUUCUUCACCGACCUCGCAAGCCAAAAACCACCCAGUGGGGAGUUAUGGCUGGCUCUGGGUGAUUUUAACCAGAUUUACCGCGCCCGAGACAAGAACAAGCGCAACGUCAAUAGGAGGAGGAUAAACCGUUUCCGCUCCACGCUCCACGAGUGUGAUCUCAAGGAGAUCCACCUCCAGAACAGGCGGUUCACUUGGAGCAACGAGAGAAAUAGCCCAACCCUAUGCAAGCUCGAUUCCUUCUUCUGUAACGCCGAGUGGGACCUGCAGUUCAGUACACACAUCUUGCAUGCUCUAUCAUCUUCGCUCUCAGACCAUUGCCCUCUUCUUCUCGCGGACGACAGGGGGCCUCGCAGGCCUCGCUCAUUCAAAUUUGAGAAUUUUUGGACUUCUCUUCCGGGGUUUAGCGAUGUGGUGGCUAAUGCAUGGAAUGAGCACACUCAUCAUACCGACCCCUUUCGGAUAUUGCACCACAAGCUUCAACACACUGGCGCCAAACUCUUGAGAUGGAGUAAGGGCCUAUUCUCAAAGGCCAAGAUCAUGCAUCAUGCUGCCCUGCUAGUAAUUCUUCACCUGGACAUGGCUCAAGACUCGAGGCACCUCUCCGUUGAGGAGCUGGAGCUCCGCUCUAGGCUUAAGCGGAGAGUCAUUGCCUUGGCAGUUCUUGAGAGGGCGAGAAAAAAGCAAUGUGCUAGGAUUUCCAACCUCAAA
rnacentral:rRNA from 1 species